rnacentral:rRNA from 1 species
GAUGAACGCUGGCGGCGUGCUUAACACAUGCAAGUCGAACGGUGAAGCAGGAGCUUGCUCUUGUGGAUCAGUGGCGAACGGGUGAGUAACACGUGAGCAACCUGCCCCUGACUCUGGGAUAAGCGCUGGAAACGGCGUCUAGUACUGGAUAUGUGAUGUGACCGCAUGGUCUGCAUCUGGAAAGAAUUUCGGUUGGGGAUGGGCUCGCGGCCUAUCAGCUUGUUGGUGAGGUAAUGGCUCACCAAGGCGUCGACGGGUAGCCGGCCUGAGAGGGUAACCGGCCACACUGGGACUGAGACACGGCCCAGACUCCUACGGGAGGCAGCAGUGGGGAAUAUUGCACAAUGGGCGGAAGCCUGAUGCAGCAACGCCGCGUGAGGGAUGACGGCCUUCGGGUUGUAAACCUCUUUUAGUAGGGAAGAAGCGAAAGUGACGGUACCUGCAGAAAAAGCACCGGCUAACUACGUGCCAGCCGCCGCCGUAA